AGCGAACGCUAGCGGCGGGCCUAACACAUGCAAGUCGAGCGGGGAGCUUCGGCUCUUUAGCGGCGAACGGGUGAGUAACACGUAGGUAAUGUGUCCUCUGGUGGGGAAUAACCGUGGGAAACCAUGGCUAAUACCGCAUAUCGUGCUUCGGCAUGAAAGCUCCCGAGUGAAAUCGGGGGCGCCAGUUGAGCAGCCUGCGUCCCAUUAUUUAGUCCUAGUUGGUGGGGUAAUGGCCUACCAAGGGUACGAUGGGUAGCUGGUCUGAGAGGAUGAUCAGCCACACUGGAACUGAGACACGGUCCAGACUCCUACGGGAGGCAGCAGUGGGGAAUAUUGCGCAAUGGGCGAAAGCCUGACGCAGCCACGCCGCGUGAGUGAUGAAGGCCUUCGGGUUGUAAAGCUCUGUCGGGAGGGACGAAAGGCCUUAAAACCUUGACGGUACCUCGCAAGAAAGCACCGGCUAACUCUGUGCCAGCCGCCGCAGUAAAAC
rnacentral:rRNA from 1 species